AGCGAACGCUGGCGGCAGGCCUAACACAUGCAAGUCGAACGGACCCUUCGGGAUUAGUGGCGGACGGGUGAGUAACACGUUGUUACGUGCCUUUUGUUUCUGAAUAUCUCCUGGAAACUGGUUGUAAUGCCGAAUUUGCCCUUCGGGGGAAAGUUUUAUCGCUUUUAGAGCGGCCCGCGUCUGAUUAGCUAGUUGGUGAGGUAACGGCUCACCCAAGCGACGAUCAGUAGCUUGUCUGAGAGGAUGACCAGCCACGCUGGGACUGCGACAAGGCCAAGACUCCGACGCGAGGAAGUAGCGGGGAAUCUGACGCAAUGGGCGAAAGGCUGACGCAGCAGUGCAGGGUGAAUGAUGAAGGUCUUAGGAUUGUAAAAUGCUUUCACCGGGGACGAUAAUGACGGUACCCGGAGAAGAAGACCAGGCUAACUAAGUG
rnacentral:rRNA from 1 species